UACGUAUGGGGCAAGCGUUGUCCGGAAUCAUUGGGCGUAAAGAGCGUGUAGGCGGCUCGGUAAGUCCGCUGUAAAAGUCCAGGGCUCAACCCUGGAAAGCCGGUGGAAACUGUCGAGCUAGAGUCCGGAAGAGGCGAGUGGAAUUCCUGGUGUAGCGGUGAAAUGCGCAGAUAUCAGGAGGAACACCAAUGGCGAAGGCAGCUCGCUGGGACGGUACUGACACUGAGACGCGAAAGCGUGGGGAGCAAACAGG
rnacentral:rRNA from 1 species